UACGUAGGGACCGAGCGUUGUCAGGAUUCAUUGGGCGUAAAGAGCUCGUAGGCGGCCACUCAAGUCGAAUGUGAAACCUCGAGGCUUAACCUCGAGCCUGCAUUCGAUACUGGGCGGCUAGAGUCUGGUAGGGGGAUCUGGAAUUCCUGGUGUAGCGGUGGAAUGCGCAGAUAUCAGGAGGAACACCGGUGGCGAAGGCGGGAUCCUGGGCCAGUACUGACGCUGAGGAGCGAAAGCGUGGGGAGCAAACAGG
rnacentral:rRNA from 1 species